AUUGAACGCUGGCGGUAUGCCUUACACAUACAGGUCGAACGGUAGAGGGGCAACCCUUGAGAGUGGCGAACGGGUGAGUAAUACAUCGGAACGUGCCCAGUCGUGGGGGAUAACGUAGCGAAAGCUACGCUAAUACCGCAUACGACCUGAGGGUGAAAGCGGGGGAUCGCAAGACCUCGCGCGAUUGGAGCGGCCGAUGGCAGAUUAGGUAGUUGGUGGGGUAAAGGCCUACCAAGCCUGCGAUCUGUAGCUGGUCUGAGAGGACGACCGGCCAAACUGGGACUGAGACACGGCCCAGACUCCUACGGGAGGCAGCAGUGGGGAAUUUUGGACAAUGGGCGCAAGCCUGAUCCAGCCAUACCGCGUGCGGGAAGAAGGCCUUCGGGUUGUAAACCGCUUUUGUCAGGGAAGAAAUCUUCUGGGCUAAUACCUCGGGAGGAUGACGGUACCUGAAGAAUAAGCACCGGCUAACUACGUGCCAGCCGCCGCAGUAACAC
rnacentral:rRNA from 1 species